CCCCGCUCUUAUUCCCGCCUAUUGUCUUCUCUGAUAUGCAAAGCUACAGAGGCAAAAAUUGAUGAGAGUUCCUCAUGUGUGUUGCAUCAAAUCUCAACAUUUGAUAGCAAAAUCCCGUUUGAAUGCUUUUCUCCGUUCUAAUAUUCAUGUUCGUUCUCCCUCUCCUCACAGAGAGAACUACACAAAAUGGAACACAACCCACAGCUAUGUUCUCUCAAACCCUCUUCUUUCCCUACUAGAAAACUGCAAAACUCUCUCUCAAUUGAUGCAAAUCCAGGCCCAAAUCAUCUGCACUGGCUUCAUCACUGAUGGGUUCGCCUCAAGUCGUUUAAUUGCCUUUUGUGCAAUAUCAGAAUCAAGAAAUCUUGAUUAUUGCACCAAAAUUUUGUACAAUACACAAAACCCAAAUACGUUUUCUUGGAAUGUAGCAAUUAGAGGGUAUUUAGAGAGUGAAAACCCUAAGGAAGCAAUACUUUUGUAUAAAAGAAUGUUAAGAAGUGGAGGUUCUAGGCCUGAUAAUUACACUUUCCCUUUGUUGUUUAAAGUUUGUGCCAUUUUACUGUUGAACUGUUUGGGUCAUCAAAUUCGAGGGCAUGUACUGCUGUUAGGUUUUGAUAAGGAUAUUUUUGUGUAUAAUGCAAUGAUAUACAUGCUGGCUUCUAUGGGAGAAUUGGAGUUGGCACGUAAGGUGUUUGAUGAAGGUUGUGUAAGAAACUUGGUUUCUUGGAAUUCUUUGAUUAAUGGGUAUGCUAGGAGUGGGAAGGCAAACGAAGCUUUAAGUAUUUAUGAAGAAAUGAUCAAGGAGCAAGUAAAUUGGGAUGAGGUGACAAUGAUUGGUGUUAUAUCCUCCUGUGCACAGUUGGAGAAGUUGAAACUUGGGACAGAAUUUCAUCGAUAUAUUGAACAAAAUGGAUUGAAUUUAACAAUUCCUCUUGCCAAUGCGCUUAUGGAUAUGUAUGUAAAGUGUAGGGAUCUUGAGGCAGCAAAAGCAAUAUUUGAUAAUAUGACAGAGAAAACAGUUGUCUCAUGGACUACAAUGGUCGUUGGGUAUGCAAGGCAGGGGCUUUUGGAUACAGCUAUGAAGUUUUUUUGUGCAAUGCCGGAAAAAAAUGUUGUGACAUGGAAUGCCAUUAUUGGGAGUUAUGUUAAAGCCGAGCAUAGCAAGGCUGCAUUGUUUUUGUUUCAUGAAAUGCAAGCUAGCAAUAUUAAGCCUGAUGGAGUGACUAUGGUUCAUUGCUUAUCUGCAUGCUCCCAGCUUGGAGCACUUGAAAUUGGAAUAUGGGUUCAUCAUUAUAUUGAAAAGUACAAUAUUCCUGUUGAUGUUGUUUUAGGCACUGCUUUAGUUGAUAUGUAUGCAAAAUGUGGGAACAUUAUGAAGGCUCUUCAGGUUUUUCAUGAUAUGCCAGGAAGAAACUCUUUAACGUGGACAGCCAUAAUUUGUGGUUUAGCCCUUCAUGGGAAACCACAUGAUGCUAUAUCUUACUUCUCCAACAUGAUUGAUAUUGGAGUUAUGCCAGACGAGAUCACAUUUCUUGGAGUUCUAUCAGCUUGUUGUCAUGGAGGCUUAGUUGAAGAGGGUCGCAAGUAUUUUGCACAAAUGAAAUCCAAAUUUAACCUGUGUCCACAGCUUAAACACUACUCUUGUGUGGUCGACCUUUUGGGUAGGGCUGGUCUAUUGGAGGAGGCAGAACAGUUGAUUAAAGGCAUGCCAAUAGAGGCUGAUGCUGUCGUGUGGGGUGCAUUUUUCUUUGCUUGUCGAAUCCAUGGAAAUCUUUUGAUGGGAGAAAAAGCAGCUUUGAAGCUUCUUGAGCUGGACCCUAGUGACAGUGGAAUAUAUGUUCUGCUUGUGAAUAUGUACAGGGAAGCCAAUAUGUUGGAGGAGGCAGGGAAGGUGAGGAAGAUGAUGAGGGAAAGAGGAAUAGAGAAGAUUCCUGGUUCUAGUUCAAUUGAGGUGAAUGGCAUUGUUUAUGAGUUCAUUGUUAUGGAUAAAAUGCACUCUCAAUCCAUACAGAUUUAUGAAUGCUUAACCCAAUUAACAAGACAAAUGGAGUUAAUUGAAUGCAUUUCUGGUGUUCCAAGCUUUGGAGAUGAUUUUUCUCUCAGACUUUGAAGUUGAAACCGGGAGGCAUUCUUUGUAUUAGAUGCAAACAUAUGAAAAUUAUUGAUAGAGGAAAGCUAUAUCCAUCGAUGACACUGUUCAUCUGAGUUGUUUAUAUUUGAUUGAAUUCCACAUCGGGAAAAUCUCGCAAUUGAUCCCAAGAUUAAACUUAAAUAUUUUGAUUCAUUUCCAAAAUGGCUGUCUUGACUGAAACUGCAUGUGUUCUGGUCCAAACUUGAAUGAGAUCCUAAAGAGAACUGGAGAUUAUUCCAGCAGAAAUAUCCAAAUGCAAAAAAGUUGACCGUUUGUGUGAGAGAGGAACGGGCAGUGUGAUGCCAUUCUGUUACUCCCCCACCCACUCAGGUUUAUGUACUACUCUUCUCUUACAAAUAUCAAGACUUCUCUUUUCCCUUCUACUUCCCUGUGCCAUGUUCUCAAUUUCUCAUUUGUCUGAAUUCUUCCCCAGGCCACAUAUACUUAAUUGAAGCACACGUUUAGGAGGCUAUUCUAUGUAAAUAGAGAUCAGGAAACUGGGAUUAUGGGUGCUGGAACUGAUAUUCUGUAGACUUGUUUGGUUGUGGCGUUGGUGAUUUGACACUAGGAUAAGUAUCUUGCUGCGGGCAGGGAAGACAUACAGA
rnacentral:misc_RNA from 1 species